ensembl:lncRNA
UUCAAGAUGGCGGCGCCCACGGACGGACGGACGGCAGAAGACCGGAGCCUUUUUUCAGAUAAAAAAUGCUCUCUACAACGGGGAAAAAAGCUGAAUGGGGAGCUUUGGCAUACGGAGCCUCGUUUUUCAACAUGGACAAGCUGCCGACGGGCGAAAGACGAGCUUCCUGCUGAGGACCCAGCUGCCCUGCUCUACCUCAAGACGGGGGCAUCUGCAACCCACAGUUCGUGGUUUACCAGCUGAAAGUGAAGAUCCACACAUCGAACCCGGCACACACCCGCCGCGAGGACAACCUCUCCUUUCCUUGGGAGGGGGUCAGCAGUGUCUCUGUCAACUAAAUGUGAUACAGAAAACCCGGAUCCUGACUGAGAGCUGCUGCACAUCUUACAGUGCUUCCUGCUGAGGACCCGUGGCCCUGCUCUACCACAAGACGCUAUUUGAAACCAUCCCCAUGUUCAGCCGGGGCACCUGCAACCCACAGUUCGUGGUUUAUCAGCUGAAAUUGAAGAUCCACACCUCGAACCCGGCGCACAGCAGUAAACUUAUAUAGUUUUGCCACAAUCCAUGUACUCACAAUAGACAGUCUAAUUACAACUGAGCCAGAGCCAGCCUCUGAGCCAGGACUCCUUUCAGGAACUGAUCCACACGUCGAACCCAGCCCACCCGGUUCUCACGCUGACCAAGAACGACUUGGACAAGGCCAACAAAGACAAGGCCAAAAAAAACUUCUCCCCCUCCUUCAAGGUGAAGCUGUUUAUUUGCUGUGUAUUUAAUUUGAUCUUCUUGUAACUGGUUUUGUGUUCUGUGUUCUGUGUUUGUUGUUUAUUUUAUAAUGUUCUGCGUUCUGUGUUCUGUGUUCGUUGUUUAUAACAACGAACACAGAACACAGAACAUUAUUUUAUAAUGUUCUGUGUUCUGUGUUCUGUGUUCGUUGUUAUAAACAACGAACACAGAACACAACAUUAUUUUAUAAUGUUCUGUGUUCUGUGUUCUGUGUUCUGUGUUCGUUGUUUAUAACAACGAACACAGAACACAGAACAUUAUAAAAUAAACAACAAACACAGAACACAGAACACAAAACCAGUUACAAGAAGAUCAAAUUAAAUACACAGCAAAUAAACAGCUUCACCUUGAAGGAGUGGGAGAAGUUUUUUUUGGCCUUGUCUUUGUUGGCCUUGUCCAAGUCGUUCUUGGUCAGCGUGAGAACCGGGUGGGCUGGGUUCUGUGUUCUGUGUUCUGUGUUCUGUGUUCGUUGUUUAUAACAACGAACACAGAACAUUAUUUUAUAAUGUUCUGUGUUCGUUGUUUAUAACAACGAACACAGAACACAGAACAUUAUUUUAUAAUGUUCUGUGUUCUGUGUUCUGUGUUCGUUGUUUAUAACAACGAACACAGAACACAGAACAUUAUAAAAUAAAGUUCAUUGUCCAUUUAUUUUAAUAAACACAUUUCUUUGCAAUAAAAACCUUUCUUUGUGGGCAACACUGCAAUGGGCUAUAUGCACAGCUCCAUUACUUUCUGAAGUUCAGACAGCACCUUUAUUUCCUGUGUUUCAUGAUAGGAUUAACUGAUUAAUCCAGGUGUGUCUGGCCAUUUACUGAGGACAGACACACCUGGAUUAAUCAGUUGAUCCUAUCAUGACACACAGGAAAUAAAGGUGCUGUCUGAACUUCAGGAAGUAAUGGAGCUGUGCAUAUAGCCCAUUAUGAAAUAGAUGACCCCUGGGUUUAGUCCGGGGGUCCAAACAGUUUUUCUUUUUUUUUUUUUUUUUUUUUUUUUUUUUUGGUGUAUUUAAUUUAAUCUUCGUUGUAAAUGGUUCUGUGUUCUGUGUUCGUUGUUAAUUUUAUGUAGUUCAUUGCAUUAUGAAAUAGAUGACCCCUGGGUUUAGCCCGGGGGUCCAAACAGUUUUUCUUUUUUUUUUUUUUUUUUUUUUUUUGGUGUAUUUAAUUUAAUCUUCGUUGUAAAUGGUUCUGUGUUCUGUGUUCGUUGUUAAUUUUAUGUAGUUCAUUGACCAUUUUUUUGUUUAAUAAAAACCUGUCUUUGCAAUAAAAAACUUU